GUGCAAACCUUUGUUAUGUGCAAACCGUGCGAACAACCACUGAGGAGCCUUGGAUUUGAAUGGAUGGCUUGGAUUCACGCCAGAAUAUUUUUGGUUUCAAUUUGUCAGUACUUUCUUCAAUAGCUGCUCCAUUUCUCAUAUUAGAUUAUAUAAGAUGGUUGUUACAAGAAAUUCUCAACAGUCUUCUGAACCAAUGAGAGUAUUAACAAACUUAUUGCAAAGAGAAAAGAGGAAAAGCGGAAGAAAAAAAAUGCUAAGCUUGUUGAAAAAGAGACAACAUCAAAUCGUUUAGACAACAUCAAAGAGUAGUGUUGUUGUGAAAGUUAGCGGUAUAAGGAUAAAAACUAGUGCUUCAAAGAACAAGUCUACUAGUCAGCAAUAGUUAGCUCAUGUUGAACAUGAAGAUUGUUACAUAUUCAUUUAUUAUUUUUUAACAUUCUUCACGUUAUGAUUUGUUCAUUUAUUGUUACUUUCUAAUAUUUUAAUUUAUAUGUUUUUUAGACUCAUUGAAGCUAAAAACAACAUCAUCCAAACAUCAAAAAUCCGUUGAUGUUGACACAUGUAUUGAAAAGCACUUGAGGGAAACUCUUUCGUUGCCUUUAUGUUCUACUCCAUCGUCAUCAAAAGUAGAAAAGGGAAUGAUGCAAGUAAAUGUAUUAUUAUGUU